UUAAUUAGAUGAGUGUUCAUAUCCACAUCCAAAUCAUUGAGCUCUCUCUCACUUCCUAUCCCUCUCUCCAUGGCAGCUGAAACAGCUUCCCUUCUUCUCUCCCAAGCAUUUCCUAGUCAACCUACCAAGAUAACAAGCAUCAAAACGUUAUAGAAAAAUAUAGAUUAAAAAAAAUAGUAUAAUAUGAGGAGAGGAAAUAACUUAGAGUGGGAGAGGCUAUAAGCAAAUUUUGAAUGAAUGACAUGUAGUUUGCAGAAAAGCAAUUUAAACUAGCAGGGAACUACAUGAAGUUCACUUCAGUUGAUAUAAACGGCAUGUCGCUUACGACUUCGCUACCUGGUUUCCUAUUUUAUCCUUGAUAACUACUCUCAAUUCCCAACACUACCACCUUCUAAAAUCCCCGCCUUUCUUCUGCUGUAAAAAAUCACAGCUCCUUCUGAAAAACUAAUAAAGCACUAGCCUUUCGCCACGCAAAACGCUCUUCCUCACCUCAGUUUCUCCAAAAUCACAACGUUAUACACAAGUAAGAACGAGAAUCACUGUAUCUCUUCUGGGUUUUCUAUUUAAGACAGAUUUUGCUUGUUGAAUUUCAACAUGUUUGUGUCAAGUUCGAGGCUUUGCAGAUUUCUACAACAUGCUUAGGUUUUAUUAGGAUUCUAUGCUUUCAGUUUUGAUGUUUCUCUCAUGUGGGCUAUUCAAUUUCUGGCUAAUUCUUCUAUGAACAAGCAAAGAUAUUUAGUGUUGGUAAGGCAUGGCUGGAGUAUCAUCUUGGUUUUAUGAAUUUUUCCCACAGAAAAUGAUGGGAUUACUGAAAUAUCUGUUGUGUUUUGGUAUUGAGUUCUUGCUCUGUUGAUGCAUGAAAAAUCAUUAUAAUUUAGUUGGCAUUCACUUCAUGAUGAUACCUGUUAUUGAUUCAAGUCCAAUACUUGCACUUUGUUAGAAUCUAUCUAUCAGUUCAUAAGGAAUUGCUUUAAGCAGUUUUCAGGAUGUUGCUAUAAUAUGUUUCUUGAAUCCUUUGAACUGCCAAUUGAAUUGGUGACUCUUAGUACAUAUGCUGGGAAAUGUCAGGUUGGUAUAACACCUAUUACAUGUCCUCUAGGAGUGUCAAAUCUCUCGAAGUAUUGUGAUUUUUCCUGUAUUUUUGGAUUGAAAACGGUAUGCAGUUGAAUAGCUUCUGUGGAUGUAAGUUUUUAUUGCUGGAGCCUGGGAAUUCAAAGAUACGUUGAUGAUGGAUAUUGCAAUAUAUGCAACCUGUGAAAAAAGUUGUUACAAAAGGUAGUAAUUUUUGUAUGGAAAAUCAAAAAUAAUUUUUUUUUAAUUUUUAAUAUCAAUAUAUUAAAAUUAUUGAAACACAUUAAAAAAACUAGUUCUUUCCUACUCUUGAUGAAAGAACAGAAAAAAUUAAUAUUUUCUUAAAAACAAACAAGUUUUUAAAGAGUCUAUUUGUGAAUUCAAAGUUAUUUUUGAAGGCACCAGACAACCUAGUUCUUAUCCACACUUGAUGAAAGAACAGAGAAAUUUCCCUCCUCUACAUGAUUCGAGCCUCUUAUUAUUAUUAUUAAUAAAAGGUUUUCCAUGUUCAUAUAAAUAAAAAUAAAUUUAAAAAAUAUAAUAAAAUAUUAUUUUAAUAUAUUUAUAAAUAAAAAAUAUUUUAAAAACAAUUAUUCCUCUUGUUGACGUGAAGCCACCGGACAAGCAAGUCCUUGUCCAUAUACAAAAAUGAUACUUGUCAUAGUGCCUUAAUUACACGAGGGUGCUUAUCCACAUCCAAAUCAUUCAGCUCUCUCUCACUUCCUCUCCCUCUCUCAAUGGCAGCUGAAACAGCUUCCCUUCUUCCCUCACAAGCAUUUCCUAGUCAACCUACCAAGAUAACAAGCAUCAAAACGUUAUCUGAAUCUCCUGGUCUCACCUCCAUCCCCGCCACUUACACCUUCACUCCUGAUCAUCUUGAUCAGGUAACUUGUGUCCCAGAAGGCUCCAUUCCUGUCAUAGAUUAUUCUCUUCUUAUUUCAGGCACUCCCGAUCAACGGUCUAAAACAGUUCAUGAACUUGGCAGAGCCUGUCAGGACUGGGGCUUCUUCACGGUAUAUCUCAUCUCUUUUCAUGUAGCAAGUAAAGCUCUUCAUGUUAUAGAAAUUUGAUCUUUGAUGGCUUGACGUGAUGUCGAAUGACUCUCUCAGCAACUUCGAGGGCUGAAAUAGUUGACUAGUGCAUGUCAUGCUCUGUAUUUUGUAAAAAAAUACAAGUAAAAGAAAAACAUAGCAAGAGAACUAGGUUUUUUUACUUUGAUUUAUAACGUAAAACAAACUUUCAUCCUUCAUAUUUCUUAAUUAUUAGGUGGUCAAUCAUGGGGUGCCGGAGAACCUUCUCAGCUCGAUACUUGAUGGGUGUAAAAGUUUUUUUGAUCUGCCAGAAGAGGAGAAGCAAGAGUUUAAAGGGAACCAUGUAUUGGACCCCAUAAGGUCUGGCACCAGCUGUAAUGUUUCAGUGGAAAAGGCUUUCUAUUGGAGGGAUUUUCUCAAGGUCUUUGUACAUCCUGAGUUCUACUCACCCACCAAGCCUGCUGGCCUCAGGUAAAUAUAAUGAUCAUCACCCCCUUCAUUAGUAGCUUUUAGUUCUAAUGCGUGUUCCUUUCAAGUGAAUUCAAAGGUGAAAAGAUAUUCGUUUUCUUUUGACAUAAGACAGAAUCUUGUGAGAAAUUCAUGAUUAAAGUAGAGGAAUCUUAAGCUUAUAGAAUUUGAAGUUCUUGGUUGGAUCUUUUUUUAUGCAGCGAGAUUUCAUUAGAGUACUCCCAAAGAGUUAGAGAAGUAGCAAGGGGGUUACUGAAAGGAAUAUCAGAAAGUUUGGGAUUGGAAGGAAGCUAUAUAGACAAGGCACUGAAUUGGAACAGGGGAAACAAAUAUUUAUUGCAAACUUGUAUCCAACUUGUCCACAGCCAGAGCUUGCAAUGGGCUUGCCCCCUCAUUCAGAUCAUGGCUUGUUGACACUUCUAAUCCAAAAUGGAAUUGGUGGCCUUCAAAUUCACCACGAAGGGAAGUGGGGCAAUGUCGGUGCCCUCCCCAACUCCUUCCUGGUUAACACUGGAGAUCACCUUGAGGUGCAUUCUGACUUCCUGGCCAUGUUAUCCCUUAUUACAAUUAGGCUUGUUGUCGAUCCAAGAUUCCCAAGGCUUAAUAAUGCUGUUAAAAAUGUGAAAUUCGUGUUUUUUUGUUACUAGAUUUUGAGCAAUGGAAGGUACAAGAGUGUUCUGCACCGAGCAAUGGUCAACAACAAGGCUACAAGGAUAUCCAUAGCUAUGGUACACGGACCAUCACUAGACUCAGUCGUUAGCCCAGCACCAGAGUUAUUAGUGAGCAGUAAAGGCAAUGAACCUGCAGCAUACGCUGGUAUGAAAUACAAAGACUACCUGGAACUUCAGCAGAGCAACAAGCUGGAUGGGAAAUCUUGCUUGGAUCGAGUUCGAAUUCCAGCAGUUUAGCUACUGCUUCUGUGUGUGUACCAAACCAUGAAAGUAAUAAUGAUACUUCUAUGAUUUCAUGAAUGCGAAAAUGAAUGGAUAAAGAAUGUGAUUGUAAUCAAAAUAAAGACUUCCUGUAAAAUAUAAGAAGUGGGGCAUCAUUUCUGCAGUGCACUCUUAUAGCUAUGUUUCUUCCCGCAGUUGGUUUGCGUUGUUCCAUGCAUGCUAUUACACUGGCUGCCCUGCUGCAAAUGACAGGGACUUUAGCUGUUUUCCACCGUGAGAAAUUUCAUGUCAGUAAAAGGACUUUCUCUUGUUUUAUCUCCCUGGGGCAUCAUUUAUCAUUUCUUACUGAUACGUACCACUUCACCACUUUACAUGCAGGGAUUGCACACUAGCAAACCAUGACAUGCAGGGAUGAGAAGACCACGAUGUGUAAUGACAAGAUGGAAAAGACCACGAAUGUUUAGUGGCAAAGUGAAAAACUUGGUCUAAUUUCUUUAUUUUAGUUAUUUGUUUGUUGAGUCAGUUUGUUUCAGUUCUGUUUUCAGUAUUUUUAUUCUGUUGCCAUGUUUGUUAUUUUUCCUACCUAUACUACUAUAUCUAUAUAUAGCCUAAAAGAGUUCAGGAGGAUAUGCAGUUAUUUCUUAAACAACCUUCUCUUCUCUUCUCUUCUCCCUAUCUUCUUCUUGAUUCUUAAAUUAUACUUUUCAAUGGUAUCAGAGCCUGGUUACAACCAUGAACACACGCAGUAAAACAAAUGCAGAAUUCCGCAAUGAUGUCAAUGAAAUCUUGGCACGACAUAAGAUCAGUUUCGAUUAGGUGAACGCAGCCUUACAAACAGUGUUAACCGAGCUCUAAGCUCUUCGAGCUUCUCGUAGCCAAAACAAUAACUCUUCUGAAACGAACCCCUUUGCUCGUGAUGAAUCCUCACACCCACAUACUUCUCGUUUUAACACUACAAAAGACUACUCUCAUCACAACCUCAAGUUGUCCUUUCUAAAAUUUAAUGGUUAUGAUCCAACGGGAUGGAUUUACAAGGCAGAGCAAUAUUUUGAAUUUCAAAAUAUUGCGUUGGACCAACAAGUUCAGCUGGCCUCAUUCCAUUUAGAAGGCAUCGCCUUACAGUGGCACCGGUGGUUGGCAAAAUUUCAUGGACCACUAACAUGGGAUGAGUUCACUAAUGCUAUACAACUCUGGUUUGGUCCAACCGACUACGGAGAUCCAUCAGAAGCUUUGACACGCCUUAAACAAUCCACCACCAUUGUAGCUUAUCAAGAAGCUUUUGAAAGGCUUUCUCACCGAGUGGACAACCUGCCUAAAUUUUUUUUAAUAGGUUGUUUUAUUGCAGGACUCAGAGAUGACAUUCAUAGAUGUGAAAAUUAAAUAGCCUGUAACCUUGGCAGAUACAAUAGGGGUGGCUCGACUAAUUGAGGAACGCAACCAGCUGCAAAAGAGACCAAUUCAACCACUCCGCUUCCAACUAGCUUAUGCAGUAGCAAAAACCUCCUCCAAUCCAGUGGCUAGGGUGCUAGGACCUCUACCAAAUCAGCGCCAUAGCCAAAGUUCCAAUAACCCACUAGCAACCUUCCAUAGAAUCACCAAUCAAGAGGCACGAGAACGACGAGAGAAAGGGUUAUGCUAUUACUGUGAUGAGAAGUUCAUUCCAAGACAUCGUUGUGCCCGACCACAAUUGUUUAUGAUCGAAGAUUCACCUCAUAUGGAUACCGAAGACGUUGAGAUCAACCAACCUAAUCUGGAACUUUAGAGGUUCUACCUGAAAUUUCUUUUCAUGCAAUUACAGGAACCGAACAUCCACAGACCAUACAUGUCCUUGGCAAGUUAAAGAACAAGAAUGUAACAAUGCUAAUAGAUGGAGGUAGCACUCAUAAUUUUAUUGAUCAGGCUUUGGUCUCUAGAUUUGGAUUACCAGUAACUCAGGGUAAGCAAUUACAAGUCAUGGUGGCUAAUAGAAAAAAUAUUGAAUGUGCUGGACAAUGUCAGGCGCUCACCCUCAUUAUUUAAGGGCUUCUUGUCACCACCGAUUACUACAUUGUUCUUGUCGCAGCAUGCCAGUUGGUAUUAGGAGUGCAAUGGAUUGCAACUCUCGGACCAGUCAGGACUGAUUACAAGCAGCUCACUAUGAAUUUCAACAUUGCAGGAAUUUCUCACACAUUUCAGGGAUCAAGGAGAACUAGCAUUGAAGCCUUAACAAAUAAGGAGUUCAAUGGAUUACAAGGCUUGGGAUUAUUCUUCCAAAUAAUUCCUUCCAAUAGUAACAACGAACCACCGUCCUAUCCUACUAAGAUCAGUAAAAUUUUAGCUCAAUUUUCUCAGGUGUUUGAAACCCCGACCGAUUUACCUCCAUAACGGUCACAUGACCAUCAAAUUCCAUUGCUUCCUAUAGCGGGGCCAGUCACUGUGAGGCCAUAUCGAUAUCCUUAUCAGAAGACUGAAAUAGAGAAAAUAGUCAAGGAGCUUCUGCAAUUUGGUUUAAUCAAACCAAGUCACAGCCCAUUCUCCUUCCCGGUUCUAUUAGUGAAGAAGGUUGAUGGUGCAUGAUGAUUUUGUGUGGAUUAUCGAGCUCUCAAUGACAUCACGGUGAAAGAUAAGUAUCCAAUUCCAAUAAUUAAUGAACUAUUAGAUGAGUUGCAUGGCGCCAAAUUUUAUUCUAAAUUGGAUUUACAUGCUGGAUAUCAUUAAAUCCGCGUGCAUGAUGCUGACAUUCAUAAAACAUCUUUCAGAACUCAUGAAGAGCAUUAUGAAUUUAUUGUGAUGCCAUUUGGUCUCACCAAUGCGCUAGUAACAUUUCAAAGUCUCAUGAAUGAUCUCUUUCGUCCCUACCUCCGACACUUUAUCUUGGUUUUCUUUGAUGACAUUCUAGUAUAUUCAAGAUCAUGGGAGGACCAUCUCACUCAUUUGCAAACUGUUCUACAGAUCUUAUCAGCUAACAGUUUAUUUACCAAAUUGUCCAAGUGUCAAUUCGGAGUUUUACGGGUCAGUUACUUGGGCCACAUCAUUUCCGAGCAAGGAGUAUCGGUUGAUCCCACCAAAAUCCAAGCUGUCAUCGAAUGGCCACCAUCAACAACAACAAAAAGGGUCCAUGGAUUUCUUGGUUUAUCAGGUUACUACCGAAAAUUUAUCGUCAUUUUACGUGUAUAACAGCACCUCUACACCGUCUCUUAAGCAAAGAUGGAUUUCAGUAGAAUGAUGCAGCAGAGAAGGCCUUCCAACAAUUGAAAGAAGCACUGACAUCCCCGCCAAUCUUACACCUUUCUGAUUUUACUCAACAAUUCAUCAUUGAGUGUGAUGCUAGUGGAAUAGGACUUAGUGCAAUUUUGCUUUAAUAGAACCAACCGAUUGCCUAUUUUAGUGAAGCAUUGAAAGGGUCAGCCUUAGUAUUAUCCAUAUACGAAAAAGAAAUGUUGGCAAUCGUCAAGGCAAUCAAGAAAUGGCGUCCAUACUUGUUGGGGAAACCUUUUACAUUUCGCACUGAUCAUAAAAGUCUUAAAUACCUCCUAGAGCAACGAAUUACUACACCUGUACAAUCAUGCUGGCUGCCAAAACUGCUUGGUUAUGAUUACAAAAUUGAGUAUUAACGUGGGCCUAAAAAUCAAGGUACUAAUUCAUUAUCACGUGUAGUUGAAUUCCAGUUUAUAUCUAUUUCUCAACCACAUGCAGAUUGGUAGCCACCGCUUCAGAAGGAAGUCCAACAGAACUCCUUUUAUGCUAACUUACUACACAAAUAACCCUCUCAAGCCGACCAUCAGCUGCUCCUUCGUGAUUGUGUUUGGUUCAAGCGAGACAAAAUCUAUUUGAGCUCCAGCUCCCCUUUGAUUCCAAAGAUUUUGGUUGAUUGUCAUUCAUCACCUGUAGGUGGGCACUUUGGGUUUCAUAAAACUCUAUCUUGCAUCAGACAAAGUGUUUUUUUUGGUCUAAUAUGCGACAAUAUGUGAAGGAGUUCUUGCAACAAUGUGAUGUUUGUCAAUGGUUUAAAAUAGAUUGUAUACAGCCGGUAGGAUUGCUUCAGCCUCUACCCAUCCCUACUUAAAUAUGGACUGAUGUCUCCAUAGACUUUAUUGAAGGAUUACCAUCUUCUAAUGGUUAUACUGUUAUCAUGGUCGUUGUUGACAGAUUGACCAAAUAUGCUCACUUUGUGCCUUGAAACAUCCAUUUUCUGCUGUCAGUGUUGCCAAGGAAUUUUUUACCAGUGUGGUUCGCGUGCAUGGAAUUCCAACUUCCAUAGUUAGUGACCGAGACAAGGUGUUUAUUAGUGCCUUUUGGCGCACAUUAUUCAAUCUGUAGGGAACCAAGUUAUGUAUGAGUUCAAGUUAUCAUCCCCAAUCUGACGGCCAAACCGAAGUUGUCAAUCGAACUUUGGAACAUUGUUUACGUUGUUUUGCAGGAGACCAACCACACAAAUGGGUUCAAUGGAUUCCCUGGGCUGAGUUUACUUACAAUACUUCCAUUCAUUCCUCCAUUAAGAUGACACCCUUUGAAGCUGUUUAUGGAGUUCCCACUCCCAACUUACUGGCUUAUAUACCCGACACUUCUCGCGUCCAAACAGUUGAUGAUUACCUGCAUGACAGGGAUACCAUCCUACUUGAGUUGUGCCAUAACCUUCAGUUGGCUCAAAAUCUGAUGAAAUGUCAAGCGGACCAACACCGGCGUGAGGUAUCAUUCAUUGUGGGAGAUUAUGUGUAUUUAAAACUUUAGCCCUAUCGGCAAACUUCUGUGGCUUUUCGAGCUUCUCUUAAACUCGCCCCAUGAUUUUUUGGUCCAUACAAAGUAUUAGAGAAGGUAAGUUCGGUGGCUUAUAAAUUGGCCUUGCCUCCUGGUUCUCAAAUCCAUGAUGUAUUUCAUGUCAGUUUGUUAAGGAAGCAUUUGGGUCCAGUUACUCCUUCCUCUCCUGAACUUCCCCCUAUCUCGGUUACUUCAGUCGUUUUUCCCCAACUUGAAGUUGUCUUAGAUCUGCGUGUGAUACGCAAAGGUAACUGUUGUUCAAAAUCUGAAAUUUUGGUGAAAUAUGUUGGUGCACCAGUAGAAGACGCUACUUAGGAAAAUGAGUGGUGUUUCUCCAAGUCCUAUCCAAACUUCCUCCUUGUGGACAAGGUUCCUUAAGGGGUAGGGAAUGAUAUAUACCACUUCAACACUUCACAUGCAAAGUGGCACAUUAGCAAACCACGGCAUGCAGGGAUUGCACACUAGCAGACCAUGACAUGCAGGGAUGAGAAGACCACGAUGUGUAAUUGUGUAAUGGCAAGAUGGAAGAGACCACGACGUGUAGUGGCAAAGUGGAAGACUUAGUCUAAUUUCUUUAUUUUAGUCAUUUAUUUGUUGAGUCAGUUUGUUUCUGUUCGGUUUUCAGCGUUCCUAUUCUGUAGCCAUAUUUGUUAUUUUUCUUACAUGUACUGCUAUAUCUAUAUAUAGCCUAAAAGAGUUCAACAAAGGAUAUGUAGUUAUUUCUUAAACAACCUUCUCUUCUCCCUAUCUUCUUUUGAUUCUUAAAUUAUACUUAUCACUUACCUCCAGGGAGCUCUCCAGAAGAACAAAAGGACUUUCUCUUGUUUUAUCUCUCUAGGGCAUCAUUUCUUACCUCUAGAGAGCUCUCCAGAAGAACAAAAGGAGGAAACAAGCUUCAGGUCGAAUAUGUCCUUUUAGUGUAGUUAUAUCGAGGAAGAAUCUAAUCAUUGUAAGAAUAAAAAGAACCAAACUUUUCUCUGAAUCAAGAUCCAUUGUACAUGAAGUUCAUACACUAAAUCAUGUCCUGCAAUUCACAAUUGAUUGAACUCUAAAAAUUAUCAGAGUAUGUUUUGUUUUUGCUUCUAUCUCUUAUUGUUACUAUCCCAAUUCAUGAUAAACUAAUUUUGCACUAUCAGUGCAUGAUGCAUGUACAUUUUCAUGCUGUCAAGGUUGUGCAUGUAAAAAAAGCCUCUGAUAACAAAGCAAUUUCAUCAGCCUAAGGUUGGUAUGAACUCUGAUAACAAAGCAACUCUUUGAGAAGCUUGAUAACUUGGCUGACAGAAAUUACACAUACAAUAGAAGUAACAUCUACGUUAUUUACGUUAUUGUUACGGGAUAGAAAAAAACAAAAUAAAAUAAAAUAUAAAAAAUAUAUUAUAUGUCAUUAAUAAAAUUAUAAUAAUCAUAGUUAUAAAAUCUAAACUAACCUGACAGGUUGAUUUGGAACCUGGACAGGUCCAAGUUUAAAAAAGUAGAAGAAGGAUUGACUCGAUCUGAUCUGGUAAAAACCUAGAUCAACCUGAGACAAAACAUGAGUAAAAAACAUGUUUACUUUUUAAAAUUGUUUUUUUUUUAUGAAAAUAAGGUUACUUUUAUUAUUUUAUUUUUUUUAAAGAAGAUUUUGGGUCAAUCUGGGUUGUCCUCUUGGCCCCGAACUUUGUCUUGGUUUAGCUCCCAGAUUGAGUUUUAAAAUUAUGAUAACAACAACUUUUAUCUAUACAUUGACACGAGUCAACCUGGGAUGACCCUUCCGACUCGUGACCUAAAAUUUGCUCCGAGUUAAUUUUCAAGUUGGGUUUUAAAACUACGAUAAUAACCAUUUUUAUUCUUAUAUUGACCUGGUCAACACGAGUUGACUCUCCAAAUCCGUGACCUAGCCUUUUCUCUGGGUCAACCCCUAUUCGGGUUUUAAAAUUAUGAUAAUAAUCAUUUUUAUUCUUAUGUUGAUCCAAGUCAAUCCAAGUUGACCCUCCCGACCCGUGAUUCAGGUCUUGCUCCUGAUCAACUCCAAGUUAAGUUUUAAAAUUAUGAUAAUAAUCAUUUUGAUUUAUACAUAUCUUAGUUUGAUAAUUUUAGAAUUGAGAGUUUUUACAAUGAUAUUUUAUGAAUAAAAAACAAAAAACAUUGUCUUAAAAGAUAUGCCCUUUUUAUUAUACCUCUUGUUUUGUAAGUAUAGAAACUCACUCCAAAAUUAUCAAGGAACACAUUUAUUUUUAUAUUUUUAUCUUUUCAACUAAACACAUUUUUGUUUCUUUUAUCACAAGAUAAUAAUUAAAUGUUAACUAAAAAUUUCAAUGUGUUUUUCAACACAAAAGUAUAAAGUGUAAAUUGAAAAGCCAAUGCAAAUAUCUAACUAAAUAAAUUGAUAAUCAUUUGCAUAAUAUGAGGAGAGGAAAUAACUUAGAGUGGGAGAGGCUGUAAGCAAAUUUUGAAUGAAUAACAUGUAGUUUACAGAAAAGCAAUUUAAACUAACAGGGAAACUACAUGUAGUUCACUUCAGUUGAUAUAACGGCAUGUCGCUUACGACUUCGCUACCUGGUUUCCUAUUUUAUCCUUGAUAAUUACUCUCAAUUCCCAACACUACCACCUUCUAAAAUCCCCGCCUUUCUUCUGCUGUAAAAAAUCACAGCUCCUUCUGAAAAACUAAUAAAGCACUAGCCUUUCGCCACGCAAAACGCUCUUCCUCACCUCAGUUUCUCCAAAAUCACAACGUUAUACACAAGUAAGAACGAGAAUCACUGUAUCUCUUCUGGGUUUUCUAUUUAAGACAGAUUUUGCUUGUUGAAUUUCAGCAUGUUUGUGUCAAGUUCGAGUCUUUGCAGAUUUCUACAACAUGCUUAGGUUUUAUUAGAAUUCUAUGCUUUCAGUUUUGAUGUUUCUCUCAUGUGGGCUAUUCAUUUUCUGGCUAAUUCUUCUAUGAACAAGCAAAGAUAUUUAGUGUUGGUAAGGCAUGGCUGGAGUAUCAUCUUGGUUAAAUGAAUUUUUCCCACAGAAAAUGAUGGGAUUACUGAAAUAUCUGUUGUGUUUUGGUAUUGAGUUCUUGCACUGUUGAUGCAUGAAAAAUCACUAUAGUUUAGUUGGCAUUCACUUCAUGAUGAUACCUGUUAUUGAUUCAAGUCCAAUACUAGCACUUUGUUAGAAUCUAUCUAUCAGUUCAUAAGGAAUUGCUUCAAGCAGUUUUCAGGAUGUUGCUAUAAUAUGUUUCUUGAAUCCUUUGAACUGCCAAUUGAAUUGGUGACUCUUAGUACAUAUGCUGGGAAAUGUCAGGUUGGUAUAACACCUAUUACAUGUCCUCUAGGAGUGUCAAAUCUCUCGAAGUAUUGUGAUUUUUCCUGUAUUUUUGGAUUGAAAACGGUAUGCAGUUGAAUAGCUUCUGUGGAUGUAAGUUUUUAUUGCUGGAGCCUGGGAAUUCAAAGAUACGUUGAUGAUGGAUAUUGCAAUAUAUGCAACCUGUGAAAAAAGUUGGGACCAAAGGUAGUAAUUUUUGUAUGGAAAAUCAAAAAUAUAUAUUUUUAAUUUUUAAUAUCAAUAUAUUAAAAUAAUUGAAAAUAUUAAAAAACUAGUUCUUUUCUACACUUGAUGAAAGAACAGAAAAAUUUAAUAUUUUCUUAAAAACAAACAAGUUUUUAAAAAACACUUAAAGAGUCUAUUUGUGAAUUCAAAGUUAUUUUUGAAGGCACCAGACAACCUAGUUCUUAUCCACACUUGAUGAAAGAACAGAGAAAUUUCCUCCUCUACAUGAUUCGAGCCUCUUAUUAUUAUUAUUAAUAAAAGGUUUUCCAUGUUCUUAUAAAUAAAAAUAAAUUUUAAAAAAUAAAUAAAAUAUUAUUUUAAUAUAUUUAUAAAUAAAAAAUAUUUUAAAAAACAAUUAUUCCUCCAUAAUUUGUUGACGUGAAGCCACCGGACAAGCAAGUCCUUGUCCAUAUACAAAAAUGAUACUUGUCAUAGUGCCUUAAUUACACGAGGGUGCUUAUCCACAUCCAAAUCAUUCAGCUCUCUCUCACUUCCUCUCCCUCUCUCAAUGGCAGCUGAAACAGCUUCCCUUCUUCCCUCACAAGCAUUUCCUAGUCAACCUACCAAGAUAACAAGCAUCAAAACGUUAGCUGAAUCUCCUGGUCUCACCUCCAUCCCCGCCGCUUACACCUUCACUCCUGAUCUCCAUGACCAGGUAACUUGUGUCCCAGAAGGCUCCAUUCCUGUCAUAGAUUAUUCUCUUCUUAUUUCAGGCACUCCCGAUCAACGGUCUAAAACAGUUCAUGAACUUGGCAGAGCCUGUCAGGACUGGGGCUUCU
rnacentral:lncRNA from 1 species